UGAGCAGUUAGUAUUCUCCCUCAACUAAUCCUUUUGGGAAAACCUUCACAGACAGACCAAGAUGUUUGCCUCACCAAUCUCCCAGGAAGCAGGGCAGAGCUAUGUGAUGGCCGGGCCGUUUUCCAUCCAGGUGAUAGCUAUUGUCGAGGACAAGAGCAAACAGAGGCUGAGAGACCAUUUACUUUAAGACGAAAACCAGACCAGAGUUGGGGGCUGGAGACAUGGCUCAGCAGAGCUGUCAGCUAGAGCCUUAUGGCGCUGUCCUGCAGACCAGCAAGGCUGGGAAGGAGACGCUGCCUUCUGCGCGCCGCCCUGCAACAUCCCAUGCUAUGAAUUCUGAACACCGUGCAACAUCCCGUGCUAUUCAUUCUGCGCACCGUGCAACAUCCCAUGCUGUGAAUUCUGUGCGCCGUGUGACAACCCGUGCUACGCAUUCUGUGCGCCGUGUGACAACCCGUGCUACGCAUUCUGCGCGCCGUGUGACAUCCCUGCUGUGAAUGCCGUGCUUCCCCCUGAGGGAGCUAGCAAUUUGUUCAGUGGUACCAUCACAUCAAUGAGAACAAUAACAUGUAUGUAUGAACUUAUACCAUUGAGACCUUCCCUCCCGAGGCUGGAGAGAUGGCUCAGUGGUUCAGCGCAUUUGCUGCUCUUCCAAAGACCCUGAGUUCAGUUCCCAGUACGCAUAUCGAUUGGCUCACAGCUGCCUAACUUCUGUUCUGUUCUGUUCUGUUCUGCCUUCUUCUGAGAUCUUCAGACACCUGCAUACAUGAGGCAUACGCACAGACACAGACACACACACGUGUGCCAUGAAUAAAAUAAAAAUAAAAAAUCUUUAAGAGACCUUC